UACGUAGGUCCCGAGCGUUGUCCGGACUUAUUGGGCGUAAAGCGAGCGCAGGUGGUUUAUUAAGUUUGGUGUAAAAGGCAGUGGCUCAACCAUUGUAUGCAUUGGAAACUGGUAGACUUGAGUGCAGGAGAGGAGAGUGGAAUUCCAUGUGUAGCGGUGAAAUGCGUAGAUAUAUGGAGGAACACCGGUGGCGAAAGCGGCCUGCUGGACCGCGACUGACGUUGAGGCUCGAAAGCGUGGGGAGCAAACAGG
rnacentral:rRNA from 1 species